ACCUGGCUAUUUCUAACUUUGUAUGUGGCUGUGAGAGGGGGCGGGGGUAAUCUUGGAGCCUCUCCUCUAAUCCCCAGUCCUUUGCUCUGUUUUCCCUCUGCCUCUUCUUCUCCAGAUCUUAUAUCUAUCAGAAGCGAUGGGUGAGACUGGAUGCCGAUCAUCUGAGAUACUUUGACAGUAACAAGGACGCCUACUCUAAGCGCUUUAUCUCUGUGGCCUGCAUCUCCCGCGUGGCUGCCAUUGGGGACCAGAAGUUUGAAGUGAUCACGAACAACCGGACCUUUGCCUUCCGGGCAGAGAGUGAUGUGGAGCGGAAGGAGUGGAUGCAGGCCCUUCAGCAGGCAGUGGCUGCUCAGUAUGCCCGGGCCCAGCUGUCUAGCGCUUAUCCAUUGGGUAUUCGAGGCUCAGAGCCACCUGACCGUGCUGGCAGCCUGGAACUACGUGGUUUCAAGAAUAAACUGUAUGUGGCCGUGGUUGGGGACAAAGUGCAGCUGUACAAGAAUCUGGAGGUGCGAAGGAGUCAGCCAGAUUGCUAAACCCCUCCCCUGCUCCCUGCCUACUUGGUCCCUCAGCCUGCCCAGCACCCACCGUGGCCCCUCAGCCUGCCCCCUGCCCCCCGCCACCCCCUGGUCCCUCAGCCUGCCC